GUCGAGCGGUAGAGAGGUGCUUGCACCUCUUGAGAGCGGCGGACGGGCGAGUAAAGCCUAGGAAUCUGCCUGGUAGUGGGGGAUAACGCUCGGAAACGGACGCUAAUACCGCAUACGUCCUACGGGAGAAAGCAGGGGACCUUCGGGCCUUGCGCUAUCAGAUGAGCCUAGGUCGGAUUAGCUAGUUGGUGAGGUAAUGGCUCACCAAGGCGACGAUCCGUAACUGGUCUGAGAGGAUGAUCAGUCACACUGGAACUGAGACACGGUCCAGACUCCUACGGGAGGCAGCAGUGGGGAAUAUUGGACAAUGGGCGAAAGCCUGAUCCAGCCAUGCCGCGUGUGUGAAGAAGGUCUUCGGAUUGUAAAGCACUUUAAGUUGGGAGGAAGGGCAUUAACCUAAUACGUUAGUGUUUUGACGUUACCGACAGAAUAAGCACCGGCUAACUCUGUGCCAGCAGCCGCGGUAAUACAGAGGGUGCAGGCGUUAAUCGGAAUUACUGGGCGUAAAGCGCGCGUAGGUGGUUCGUUAAGUUGGAUGUGAAAUCCCCGGGCUCAACCUGGGAACUGCAUUCAAAACUGUCGAGCUAGAGUAUG
rnacentral:rRNA from 1 species